GGCGUGCUAAUACAUGCAAGUCGAACGAACUCUGGUAUUGAUUGGUGCUUGCAUCAUGAUUUACAUUUGAGUGAGUGGCGAACUGGUGAGUAACACGUGGGAAACCUGCCCAGAAGCGGGGGAUAACACCUGGAAACAGAUGCUAAUACCGCAUAACAACUUGGACCGCAUGGUCCGAGUUUGAAAGAUGGCUUCGGCUAUCACUUUUGGAUGGUCCCGCGGCGUAUUAGCUAGAUGGUGGGGUAACGGCUCACCAUGGCAAUGAUACGUAGCCGACCUGAGAGGGUAAUCGGCCACAUUGGGACUGAGACACGGCCCAAACUCCUACGGGAGGCAGCAGUAGGGAAUCUUCCACAAUGGACGAAAGUCUGAUGGAGCAACGCCGCGUGAGUGAAGAAGGGUUUCGGCUCGUAAAACUCUGUUGUUAAAGAAGAACAUAUCUGAGAGUAACUGUUCAGGUAUUGACGGUAUUUAACCAGAAAGCCACGGCUAACUACGUGCCAGCAGCCGCGGUAAUACGUAGGUGGCAAGCGUUGUCCGGAUUUAUUGGGCGUAAAGCGAGCGCAGGCGGUUUUUUAAGUCUGAUGUGAAAGCCUUCGGCUCAACCGAAGAAGUGCAUCGGAAACUGGGAAACUUGAGUGCAGAAGAGGACAGUGGAACUCCAUGUGUAGCGGUGAAAUGCGUAGAUAUAUGGAAGAACACCACUGGCGAAUGCGGCUGUCUGGUCUGUAACUGACGCUGAGGCUCGAAAGUAUGGGUAGCAAACAGGAUUAUAUACCCCCGGUAGUCCAUACCGUAAACGAUGAAUGCUGACUGUUGGAGGGUUUCCGCCCUUCAGUGCUGCAGCUAACGCAUUAAGCAAUCCGCCUGGUGAGUACAGCCGCUUAGAUGAGAACUCAAAGGCAUUGUAUUGGCGCCCGCACCACCGGUAGCAGCUUGUCGCUGUGAUUCUUAUGCUGACGCCGAGCAGCCAUACCAUUGUCCUGGUCGUACUA
rnacentral:rRNA from 2 species